ensembl:processed_transcript
CUUUCCGGCAAUAUUCCUUCUGCGUUCACACAGCGCCGGCAAAUUACCGCCAUGUUUCACAUUGUGGAGUUUUUGGAAACCCAAGAGGUGGAAGUUGUGCCAGCGCUUUGGGUUACAGAUGAAAUUUGUCAAUGGCCAGCUCACUACAAAGCGGAUGAAUUAGUGAAGGCCGUACGGAGCCAGGAGCAGCCUGGAGUCACAUGGGAUGCAUUUCGUGUUCAAAUUUUAUAUACAGCUGCAAACUACAAACAUGCUUGUCUAAAACUUCCUGAAGCUGAAGCCUACACUGAUCUGCAAACAGCAGAGGAAGACAAGGAUGACUAUCCAAAGAAAAAACGAAAACGUCUGCCAAACAUUCACUUUGAAAGUGAUAGUGAGGAGGAAGUUCCUGUCAAACAAAAAAUUACAUUGCCUCCAGCCCCAAAAAUAAAAACGCAGAACUUUGAUAAACAGUCUGCAGUAAGGAGAAAAGUUCAACGGCCUGAACCACAAAAACAAAAGACAAGCCUAGAUCUCAGACGGUCUCUUACAAGUCCUAAGCCUAGACAAAGUCCUGAGCCUUGGCAGUCUGUAAGAAGCCCUGAGCAUAGACAAUCAACAAGUCCGGAACCAAGAUGCUCUGUGACUAGUCCUCAACCCCUUGAACUACAUGAAAGCCAAAGACAAUCAGGAACAACAAUUUCAAAUAGUCUGUCUUCUCUACUGCACAAACUUCUUACAAAUCAAGAAAUUAUAAUGGAACAACUUAAAAUGAUUCAGAUGAACCUGCAAAAUACAGGCCAACCUGUCCAGGGACAGGAUUCCCUCAAGAGAGUAGUACUGCCACUCAAAGAUGUGGCUGCCCUCCUUGCGUUAGAAAAACGCCUCAGAGAAGAGGAAGACCUCAAAAACA